rnacentral:rRNA from 1 species
AUUGAACGCUGGCGGCAGGCCUAACACAUGCAAGUCGAACGAGUGGCAGACGGGUGAGUAAUGUCUGGGAAACUGCCUGAUAGAGGGGGAUAACUACUGGAAACGGUAUCUAAUACCGCAUAACCACAGAUGUUCCCAGAUGGGAUUAGCUAGUUGGUGGGGUAACGGCUAACCAAGGCGACGAUCCCUAGCUGGUCUGAGCGGAUGACCAGCCACACUGGAACUGAGACACGGUCCAGACUCCUACGGGAGGAAGCAGUGGGGAAUAUUGCACAAUGGGCGCAAGCCUGAUGCAGCCAUGCCGCGUGUAUGAAGAAGGCCUUCGGGUUGUAAAGGACUUUCAGCGGGGAGGCGUUACCCGCAGAAGAAGCACCGGCUAACUCCGUGCCAGCAGCCGCGGUAAUUC